UACGAAGGGGACUAGCGUUGUUCGGAAUUACUGGGCGUAAAGCGCACGUAGGCGGAUUUGUUAGUCAGGGGUGAAAUCCCGGGGCUCAACCUCGGAACUGCCUUUGAUACUGCAAGUCUCGAGUCCGAUAGAGGUGGGUGGAAUUCCUAGUGUAGAGGUGAAAUUCGUAGAUAUUAGGAAGAACACCGGUGGCGAAGGCGGCCCACUGGAUCGGUACUGACGCUGAGGUGCGAAAGCGUGGGGAGCAAACAGGA
rnacentral:rRNA from 1 species